rnacentral:tRNA from 1 species
GGACGUGUGACCGGAGCAGCGAUCGGCGCGGACUUUUAAUCCGCCAGGCAUUUGCCUCAUCGGGGGUGCGAGUCCCUCCACGUUCACCA